rnacentral:misc_RNA from 1 species
CUUUGUUAUCCACCAAAUAGUUGCAUACACCCAAAUGAUUCUUUUUUAUUCUUUAUUUUUUUUAACAAAAAUUCCAUUGGAUGAAAUUGAGGUUAGGGUCCAACCCAUGGAAGUUUGUUGUAAACAUUUCUCAAGCCUAGGCCUUGAAAGAGAGAAACCUCAGAGACUACCCGGGUUAACCUGAACCCAUUUUUCACAGCAGUCAAGUGCAAUAGCUUCUCAACACUACCCUCCCAUGGGAGACUGCAGAUCCAUAUGAACAAGCAAGGGGAAAACAACACAAUUAGCACAUAAGAGCGUUUAAGCACCACUCAACCAAAAAUCUCCCCUCCUUAAACUUUCAAAGCAAAGGAAGGUAGAGAGAAGUUUGCAGCAAAGAAAAACCAUAAAAACAGGGACUUGGACCCAUGCCAGACGAAUUGGGAAGAAGGCAAACAGGUCUUUCGUGCUUGCCUGGAAGGAAAGGUCGGCCAUCUCGAUACCACCCUUCCAACUGCUAGCUGAUGAUCUUCUAAAGCUUCUAAUCAACCUACUGGGGAGGCUUGCUUCAACAAUGCAAGCACCUCCACUAAACAGACAAAAACCCAAACAAAAACUUCAUCCACAUAGGGGCACUAAAAAUCCAUUACCGAGGACUGAAAGAAAACUAGGAAAAAAAUAGAUAAAAACUACCUAAAAGCACAACUACAGAUGAGGUAGGGGGAGGGCCAAUGGCCAGAUGGCCGGACCUCCGCUGAGACUAAACCAAAACCGGGACUCAUUUAGAGAGAAGGGAGAGGAUUUCAACUUAGAGAGAGAA